rnacentral:rRNA from 1 species
UGAGUUUUUAUCCUGGCUCAGGAUGAACGCUAGCGGCAGGCUUAACACAUGCAAGUCGAGGGGUAUAUUUCUUCGGAGAUAGAGACCGGCGCACGGGUGCGUAACGCGUAUGCAAUCUACCUUUUACAGAGGGAUAGCCCAGAGAAAUUUGGAUUAAUACCUCAUAGUAUAGCUGUACCGCAUGGUACUACUAUUAAAGUCACAACGGUAAAAGAUGAGCAUGCGUCCCAUUAGCUAGUUGGUAAGGUAACGGCUUACCAAGGCUACGAUGGGUAGGGGUCCUGAGAGGGAGAUCCCCCACACUGGUACUGAGACACGGACCAGACUCCUACGGGAGGCAGCAGUGAGGAAUAUUGGACAAUGGGCGCAAGCCUGAUCCAGCCAUGCCGCGUGCAGGAUGACGGUCCUAUGGAUUGUAAACUGCUUUUAUACGAGAAGAAACACUCCGACGUGUCGGAGCUUGACGGUAUCGUAA